GUCAUCGUCCAGCUCAUGAAGUGUUCGAGAAAGUUUGUUUGUAGAACCUAAAUUGUCUUCUUUAAUCAUUUUGUACUACUUCCUCGCAGCUCCACUGAGGUAAGAGUAUGCACCUGUUACAGACGGGGCAACAAGAUGGCAAAACUCACCGACGUCUUCAACCCAGCCAGUGACAACAUCGGGUCUGCCCCCACCCCCGCCAGCGACCCCUGGAAGCGCUCUUUUGCCUCCAUAAGGAGGCAAAACAGCCCCAGCAAACCCAGACUGUUCACCGCUGGAAACAUGGGCUGAUGUGGCUGGAUAUGCUCCAUGUGCUGGGAACCCCAGCAAAGUGUCUGACCUGCAUCUUCUCAUGUGAAUCUCCCACCUCCUCUCUUGUGCUGUCAUCAUCGUCUCCACAAUAUGAAGGAGAAAGCUCAGAUCCAAAGAAUCCAAGCAGCAUACCACUGCCUGAUGAAGAGGGAAGAGCCAGGAUUCACCCUUAUGCCCGUCUGACUCCAGAACCCUCACCCUUAACCGCCUUUAUCACGGGAGUGUUUACCUAUUUCCAACAAACUUUAGUUUUUGUUUCUGGAAGGUGAGAGACAUUCCAUCCCAGCUCUGUCUCUAAGAAGGCAAAUGGCUUUGAGCCAGUCACUGAAUCAAAGGAGAGACAUGGAGCAGAGUAAUGGUGUCCCGACUCCCCAAACACUCACAGCUCUUAGAAUGAGUAGCCAAAGAGCCUGAACUAAUACAUUUAUACCACCUCCUUC